rnacentral:rRNA from 1 species
GACGAACGCUGGCGGCGUGCUUAACACAUGCAAGUCGAACGGAAAGGCCCUGCUUUUGUGGGGUUCUCGAGUGGCGAACGGGUGAGUAACACGUGAGUAACCUGCCCUUGACUUUGGGAUAACUUUAGGAAACUGGGGCUCAAACCGGAUAGGAUCUCCUGCUGCAUGGUGGGGGUUGGAAAGUUUCGGCGGUUCGGGAUGGUCUCGCGGCUUAUCAGCUUGUUGGUGGGGUAGUGGCUUACCCAGGCUUUGACGGGUAGCCGGCCUGAGAGGGUGACCGGCCACCUUGGGACUGAGAUACGGCCCAGACUCCUACGGGAGGCAGCAGUGGGGAGUAUUGCACAAUGGGCGGAGGCCUGAUGCAGAAACGCCGCGUGCGGGAUGACGGCCUUCGGGUUAUAAACCGCUUUCGCCUGUAACGAGGCGUGAGUGACGGUAAUGAAUAAAAAAGCACCGGCUAACUACGUG